AUGUUGCCAAGCCGAACGGUAGCCCGAAGACCUCCGUAUUUGGUUUAUUUCGCAAAACAGAAUUGUUCGUACCAGCAAAACAGACUUAACGACAUUGUACUCUCCCUCCGUCUGCAACCUCUCUCCAUCUGUAACUUCCCUGCGUCUGUAGCCUCCCUCCGUCACGUCCUGCUUCCUCCCAGCUGGUACAUUCAGUUCCGGUCAACCUCAACUCUUCCUCUUCAUACACUUCAAGCAUCUUCAAGAGGAAUACUUACGUAA